UAGUCCACGCCGUAAACGAUGGUCACUAGCUGUUCGAACUUCGGUUUGAGCGGCCAAGCGAAAGUGAUAAGUGACCCACCUGGGGAGUACGUUCGCAAGAAUGGAACUCAAAGGAAUUGACGGGGCCCGCACAAGCGGUGGAGCAUGUGGUUUAAUUCGAUGAUACGCGAGGAACCUUACCAGGGCUUAAAUGUAAGUUGCAUUGUUUAGAGAUAGACAUUUCUUCGGGCUACUUACAAGGUGCUGCAUGGUUGUCGUCAGCUCGUGCCGUGAGGUGUCAGGUUAAGUCCUAUAACGAGCGCAACCCCUGUUGUUAGUUGCCAGCAUGUAAAGAUGGGAACUCUAACAAGACUGCCGGUGCAAACCGUGAGGAAGGUGGGGAUGACGUCAAAUCAUCACGGGCCCUUACGUCCUGGGGCUACACACGUGCUACAAUGGUAGGUACAGAGGGGCAGCCACUGCGUGAGCAGGAGCGAAUCCUUAAAGCCUAUCUC
rnacentral:rRNA from 1 species